UAUCUCUGUAGAGUCUGCAUAUCAAUAAGCGGAGGAAAAGAAACUAACUAGGAUUCCCUCAGUAACGGCGAGUGAAGCGGGAAGAGCUCAAAUUUGAAAUCUUCAAGGUUCUACCUUGACGAAUUGUAGUUUAAAGAAGUGUUUUCUGUUGAAGUUUUGGUAAAAGUUCUUUGGAGUAGGACAUCAUAGAGGGUGAGAAUCCCGUAUUUGACCAUUAUUUUCAGCUGUGUGAUACACUUUCAAAGAGUCGGAUUGUUUGGGAAUGCAGUCCAAAAUGGGUGGUAAAUUUCAUCUAAAGCUAAAUACUGGCGAGAGACCGAUAGCGAACAAGUACCGUGAGGGAAAGAUGAAAAGAACUUUGAAAAGAGAGUUAAACAGUACGUGAAAUUGUCAAAAGGGAAGCGUUUGACACCAGUGUUGUUUUCUCGAAAAUCAAUUAAAAAUGGCGGGAUUUUGUGUUGUAUUGACUUUAUCAGCUUUCUGCACUUUUUUCCUGUCUUUUUUAAUGCACUUUUCGUUUAACAAGUCAACAUCAAUUUCUUUUGUUGUAAAAGGGUCAUUGGAAGGUGGCUUUCUUUUCGGAGAAAGUGUUUAUAGCCUUUGACUUCUGCAAUCGGAGAGAUUGAGGUCUGCAGCGUAGAUCCUUCGGGGUUAGAUGCAUUUGUGCUAAGUUAUAGCCUUUCAUAGACAACUUGUUGACUAUGAUCAGUCAUGUAGCUUACUCGCUUAUGUCAUUUUACCUACGCUUAGGAUGUUGAGUAGCGACAUACGCAC
rnacentral:rRNA from 1 species